UUACUGAAUGAUUGUUGAAUGUUUUUUAGUACAGAUUUUCUUAGCAUCUAGCUGCUGACCUAUUGAGAUUCUGCUCAGGACAUUGUUGUGUGUGCUUAUACAUUGUAGAUUGUUCUAUUCAUUUGUAAUACCAUUAUAUAUAGCAUGUCACCACCCUGUCUAAGUGAUAACUGUUGAGCAUUUCUGUAUUUAUUUUGAAGCCCGUUUUUAGCCUUUUUGUCAGAUUUUGUUACUUGUUAAUGUAUGACUAUAUUUGUAUGUUUUACUAUAGAUUUUACACACGUCGAUACUAUAUGUAUGUGUUUAUGACUCAUCGUCGCCUAUCAUAUGCACUGGUUAUGGUAGAUUUUAUAGUUUAGAAUAAAAGUGUCAAUGU
rnacentral:sRNA from 1 species